AAGUGCCGGAGAAGGGCCGCUCGUGACUUCCGUGCUCUUCCAUCUGGUGGGAACCCUGAAACCCAUUUGUAAAUUAAUUUUUUACUUGGAAUGCGCGCUGCCGCAUCCAGUCAUCCCUGGAUCCCGCACAGACAGCUUGCGCUGCUGCCUCCACAUGUCUCCAGCGACGGGCUCGGCUCCGACUGAUUGGAGAUGCAGGAGAAUGGGAUCAUUAAAGAUGCUUUGGGAUGCACCACUCCCUGCCAGUGCCAGUUCAAAUGUGCCUCUGGCAGCGGCGCUUCCCCGGUGACAUUUUCCAGUGCCUGAGGAAAACAACGGUGCCGACUGGCACACUGCGGCGAGUGGCCGGCAGCACCACGCCAUCCCAACGGCUCGGAUUCCCAGGAAACAUGGGCAAAAUCAUCCAUUCAGAGGUUGGAAACACUUAUCCCAAAUAAUAGCCCCGCUUACAACCCGCCUCUACUUUUUGACGUGCUGAGCACCUCAAAUAGCGACAAUAAAGCCUCUGUCUUCUUUCAAGAUAUUUGUCAUCUUUUGAUCCGGUGCCAGGAAAAAUGGAAUUCUGGGAGAUCAAACCUCCCAAACUGAUGGCUCCUCUCCGCAGCAAGUGCUUAUCAAGAGGAAUCCAGAAAGAUGACAUGUUUCAAAAGUGACAGGGAAUAAAGUUCAGCUCGUUGUGGAAAAAGAAGUAAAUAAACUUCAAACAGCCCAGGAAUUUCCUUC